UACGGAGGGAGCUAGCGUUAUUCGGAAUUACUGGGCGUAAAGCGUACGUAGGCGGGUUUUUAAGUCAGAGGUGAAAUCCUGGAGCUCAACUCCAGAACUGCCUUUGAUACUGAAAGUCUUGAGUAUGGGAGAGGUGAGUGGAACUGCGAGUGUAGAGGUGAAAUUCGUAGAUAUUCGCAAGAACACCAGUGGCGAAGGCGGCUCACUGGCCCGGUACUGACGCUGAGGUGCGAAAGCGUGGGGAGCAAACAGG
rnacentral:rRNA from 1 species